CCUACGGGUGGCAGCAGUGGGGAAUAUUGCACAAUGGGGGAAACCCUGAUGCAGCCAUGCCGCGUGUGUGAAGAAGGCCUUCGGGUUGUAAAGCACUUUCAGUUGUGAGGAAAGGGUAAUCGCUAAUACCGGUUAUCUGUGACGUUAGCAACAGAAGAAGCACCGGCUAACUCCGUGCCAGCAGCCGCGGUAAUACGGAGGGUGCGAGCGUUAAUCGGAAUUACUGGGCGUAAAGCGUACGCAGGCGGCGAACUAAGUCAGAUGUGAAAGCCCCGGGCUUAACCUGGGAACUGCAUUUGAAACUGGUUGGCUAGAGUCUUGUAGAGGGAGGUAGAAUUUCCGGUGUAGCGGUGAAAUGCGUAGAGAUCGGAAGGAAUACCAGUGGCGAAGGCGGCCUCCUGGACAAAGACUGACGCUCAGGUACGAAAGCGUGGGGAGCAAACAGGAUUAGAUACCCUAGUAGUC
rnacentral:rRNA from 1 species